AAAACCAGUAGUCCUAAGUUCCUAACUUUCAUUAUCUGUUCUCUUUGCUUCAAAAAGAAAGAAAAAGAACACUUCCUUUUGAGUACUGAGCUAUGUACCUAUGAUCUUGUUGAUGGAAUACAAUUCUAUUUUGUUGUGUUUGAUUGAUUUUCCAGGUUGGUUGCUUUCCCUGACUUGGAGGAACUUACUGUGACAGCUAAUUCCCAGAAAAAUCCUUCAAGCUACAAGUUCUGGAGGUACUCUGUCAUCUUUAGAUAUUCUGGUAUGUUGGAUUUGCUUCAUGCUUUCCUUCAUUUCAGGAGAAAGACAUGCUGCUAUGAGAAGCUCUGCAAUGAUUUUUUCCUCUGUUUCAAUUGAAUUUGACUGGGUUUUUCUUUCAGUAAAAUUUCGUAUGAUUGCCUAGACUUAAGCAAUAUACUCCUAAGCCGCUAUGCUACUUUGUCCCAAAACAGUUCAAUUACUUCCCGCUUGAAAUAUGUGGUUGUAUGAACUUAUACAUUUGCAUGCAGGUGUGACCUUUGAAUUUUUUUUUUGAUGUAUUCUUUAUAUAAUGAAUCUGUUCCUGUUGAGAAUCUUUC